rnacentral:rRNA from 1 species
AAGCUCGUAGUUGAAUUUCGGGAUCAAGGAAUCGGUCAUGCCUUGGUAUGUACUGGUUUUAUUGGUUCUCACCUUCUAAAGAACCAUAAUGUCAUUCAUUUGAUGUUAUGGGGAACUAGGACUGUUACCUUGAAAAAAUUAGAGUGUUUAAAGCAGGCUUACGCUUGAAUACAUUAGCAUGGAAUAAUGAAAUAGGACAUCCGAUUCUAUUUUGUUGGUUUCUAGGAUCGAUGUAAUGAUUAAUAGGGAUAGUUGGG